rnacentral:rRNA from 1 species
UACAGGGGGUGCAAACGUUGCUCGGAAUGACUGGGCGUAAAGGGCGCGUAGGCGGAUUGUACAGUCAGGCGUGAAAUUCCCGGGCUCAACCUGGGGGCUGCGCUUGAGACGUGCGAUCUUGAGUGGGGAAGAGGGUCGUGGAAUUCCCAGUGUAGAGGUGAAAUUCGUAGAUAUUCGCAAGAACACCAGUGGCGAAGGCGGCUCACUGGCCCGAUACUGACGCUGAGGCACGAAAGCGUGGGGAGCAAACAGG